CUCACAUCACAAAGAAUAACCAAGCUGCCAGGGACAAGGCCUGCUCCUCCUGCCCUCUGACCAGGCACAGCCUCUUACUCUCACGCCUCUGAAAAGGCAAUUGACCUGCAGGAGCUGGCACAAAAUUGGCACCAGACGUGGGUGGCCACAGGCACUUCCCCCCUCCGGUCCUGCGGACUGCUCAGCCUGUACAGAGGCCAUGACUCUCCCUGGUCCCCCAGCCAUGACCCCAACUCUACCCCUACCCUACCCCAGCUUCCCAUUCUGGGGGGCAAGGCAAGGGGAGGCAGGGAACGGGGGAAAAAGAGCCCCGAAGGAAAGCCCAGUGCAUUGCCCGGUAACUCACAGUCAGGUGAAGGAGGUCCAACUCUGCUGUGGGUAUCCCGCACAGAGUGCCCAUCUUGAAGACAAGGAAUAGCAUUUCUAAGACCCUCUCUGAUGACCGUGUGGAUGAAAGCAUACUCUUCCACAUAUCCAGAGUAGUGCUGCAAACGAAGAGCAACGCUCUGUCAGCAGGGCUCCCUCAGCCACAGCGCCACGGCUCAGGCAGGCCUGGCAGGCCACAGGCUGUGCUCAGCCCUGGCCCUGCUGCCCCGCGUGCUUUUGGAGGCUUGGGGACCCAGCCUGGGCAAGCUGGAGGGGCUGAGGUGGUCUUUCCUGAAGGGCAGGGCAACGGGCCUGAUGGGAGCUCUGGGCUGCCUUGGUUGGCAUUGGCUGCUGCAGCCCUGACCGACCCACCAGCGCUGGAAAGCACUGUGGAAUGGAGGGCUGCUCCUCAGGGAUGUCCUGCAGCUUGGCUUGGCUCUGGCAGCCAGAGCAUCCCCUAGCCCUGCCCUUCACGUGAGCAAGACCACAGGGCUGCCAGGGCUAGUACCUGUCACUCUGUGGAAGGUGGAUCAACACAGCUGUCAGCACAUCUCUGGGAAACUGGUAGGCCAGCAUAUCAAGCACUGAGAAGAGCGUCUGCUGAAUUGAUGUUUUCUUGCUUUUUAGGUGUCUGUGGAUGAACGCCAUAAUCACUGGCACCUGUUGGGAGGACACGGAGAUUGCUGCUGCCACUCUACUGCAGCCAUUUGCCCCGCUGACAAUAACGUUACCGCCCUUCCCACCGCUCUCUGCUGGCUUAAAGUGGUUUCCAAUGCCCGUGAUCUACGGAGGGCAGGGCAGGGCAGGGCAGGGCAGGGCAGGACACAGUAAUCCAGCCUCAGACUGCUUACAUCCAUCAGCCAGAUGCCAGGCUGUCUCAGAACCACAUCCAGGAUAAUUUUGGCCCACUCACUGUCCUCAACACAGCAGCCUUCAGCGGUCUUUUCAAGGGCCAUGAGGACAACGUCUGUCCUCUGAGAAGGUUGAAGGAGUUGUCCAAAUGGCUACGGUAGGAAGGGAAAAGAGAGGGAAG
ensembl:lncRNA